GUGGAACUGCAGUAUUGACAAGCGAACUUGAGGUGAGCUUUCUUGCUUCCGGGAUGUCCACAGAUCGAACAAUGUGGAACUUUGGUUUUCCGAGGGCUCUCAUCUGAACUGGGUAUUAAACUACUGUCUAAGUUGACUUCGUGCUGGAAAUCCUGUAGAUCCCCUCCACCUAUUUCCCUCAACCUAUACAAAAUCUCAUCAUCACUGAAAGAUUUGACAAAAC
rnacentral:misc_RNA from 1 species